GACGAACGCUGGCGGCGUGCCUAAUACAUGCAAGUUGAGCGCUGAAGGUUGGUACUUGUACCAACUGGAUGAGCAGCGAACGGGUGAGUAACGCGUGGGGAAUCUGCCUUUGAGCGGGGGACAACAUUUGGAAACGAAUGCUAAUACCGCAUAAAAACUUUAAACACAAGUUUUAAGUUUGAAAGAUGCAGUUGCAUCACUCAAAGAUGAUCCCGCGUUGUAUUAGCUAGUUGGUGAGGUAAAGGCUCACCAAGGCGAUGAUACAUAGCCGACCUGAGAGGGUGAUCGGCCACAUUGGGACUGAGACACGGCACAAACUCCUACGGGAGGCAGCAGUAGGGAAUCUUCGGCAAUGGACGAAAGUCUGACCGAGCAACGCCGCGUGAGUGAAGAAGGUUUUCGGAUCGUAAAACUCUGUUGGUAGAGAAGAACGUUGGUGAGAGUGGAAAGCUCAUCAAGUGACGGUAACUACCCAGAAAGGGACGGCUAACUACGUG
rnacentral:rRNA from 1 species